rnacentral:ncRNA from 1 species
GGAUCGGGAGAGUCCGCUGCAGGCGGCGCCGAAGGGGAACGCAGAAGCUCUCAGGCAAAAGGACCGAUUC